rnacentral:lncRNA from 1 species
CGCCGCCCCAUCUGGGAUGUGAGGAGCGCCUCUGCCCGGCCGAGACCCCGUCUGGGAGGUGAGGAGCGUCUCUGCACGGCCGCCCCGUCUGAGAAGUGAGGAGACCCUCUGCCUGGCAACCACCCCGUCUGAGAAGUGAGGAGCCUCUCCGCCCGGCAGCCACCCCAUCUGGGAAGUGAGGAGCGUCUCCGCCGGGCAGCCACCCCAUCCGGGAGGGAGGUGGGGGGGGGGUCAGCCCCCCGCCCGGCCAGCCGCCCCAUCCGGGAGGGAGGUGGGGGGUCAGCCCCCCCGCCCGGCCAGCCGUGCCAUCCGGGAGGGAGGUGGGGGGGUCAGCCCCCCGCCUGGCCAGCCGUGCCGUCCGGGAGGGAGGUGGGGGGGUCAGCCCCCCGCCCGGCCAGCCGCCCCGUCCGGGAGGGAGGUGGGGGGGGGUCGGCCCCCCUGCCUGGCCAGCCGCCCCGUCCGGGAGGUGAGGGGCGCCUCUGCCCGGCCGCCCCUACUGGGAAGCGAGGAGCCCCUCU